rnacentral:rRNA from 1 species
UACGUAGGGGGCAAGCGUUGUCCGGAUUUAUUGGGCGUAAAGAGCGUGUAGGCGGCCAUGUAGGUCCGUUGUGAAAACUCGAGGCUCAACCUCGAGACGCCGAUGGAAACCAUAUGGCUAGAGUCCGGAAGAGGAGAGUGGAAUUCCUGGUGUAGCGGUGAAAUGCGCAGAUAUCAGGAAGAACACCCGUGGCUAAGGCGGCUCUCUAGUACGGUACUGACGCUGGAGACGCGAAAGCGUGGGGAGCGAACAGG